GACGAACGCUGGCGGCGUGCUUAACACAUGCAAGUCGAACGGGUCUGCCCUGUUUUUUGCGGGGUGGGUCAGUGGCGAACGGGUGAGUAACACGUGAGUAACCUGCCCCUCACUUCUGGAUAACCGCUUGAAAGGGUGGCUAAUACGGGGUGUUCUGGCUGUGCCGCAUGGUGUGGCUGGGAAAGAUUCACUUUUGUGGUGUUUUGGUGGGGGAUGGGCUCGCGGCCUAUCAGCUUGUUGGUGGGGUGAUGGCCUGCCAAGGCUUUGACGGGUAGCCGGCCUGAGAGGGUGGGCGGUCACACUGGGACUGAGAUACGGCCCAGACUCCUGCGGGAGGCAGCAGUGGGGGGUAUUGCACAAUGGGCGGAAGCCUGUUGCAGCGACGUCGCGUGAGGGAUGGAGGCCUGCGGGUUGUGAACCUCUUUCGCCGGUGAAGAAGGUCCUGCUCUUUGUGGUGGGGUUGACGGUAGCCGGGUUAUGAAGCGCCGGCUAACUACGUG
rnacentral:rRNA from 1 species